rnacentral:rRNA from 1 species
UCCGUAGGUGAACCUGCGGAAGGAUCAUUAAUUAUGUUAAAGCGCCUUACCUUAGGGUUUCCUCUGGGGUAAGUGAUUGCUUCUACACUGUGAAAAUUUGGCUGAGAGACUCAGACUGGUCAUGGGUAGACCUAUCUGGGGUUUGAUCGAUGCCACUCCUGGUUUCAGGAGUACCCUUCAUAAUAAACCUAGAAAUUCAGUAUUAUAAAGUUUAAUAAAAAACAACUUUUAACAAUGGAUCUCUUGGUUCUCGCUUCGAUGAAGAACGUAGCAAAGUGCGAUAACUAGUGUGAAUUGCAUAUUCAGUGAAUCAUCGAGUCUUUGAACGCAGCUUGCACUCUAUGGUUUUUCUAUAGAGUACGCCUGCUUCAGUAUCAUCACAAACCCACACAUAACAUUUGUUUAUGUGGUGAUGGGUCGCAUCGCUGUUUUAUUACAGUGAGCACCUAAAAUGUGUGUGAUUUUCUGUCUGGCUUGCUAGGCAGGAAUAUUACGCUGGUCUCAGGAUCUUUUUUUUGGUUCGCCCAGGAAGUAAAGUACAAGAGUAUAAUCCAGUAACUUUCAAACUAUGAUCUGAAGUCAGGUGGGAUUACCCGCUGAACUUAAGCAUAUCAAUAAGCGGAGGA